rnacentral:rRNA from 1 species
UACGGAGGGGACUAGCGUUGUCCGGAAUUACUGGGCGUAAAGCGCACGUAGGCGGAUUGUUUAGUCAGGGGUGAAAUCCCGAGGCUCAACCUCGGAACUGCCUUUGAUACUGGCAAUCUCGAGUCCGGAAGAGGUGAGUGGAAUUCCUAGUGUAGAGGUGAAAUUCGUAGAUAUUAGGAAGAACACCAGUGGCGAAGGCGGCUCACUGGUCCGGUACUGACGCUGAGGUGCGAAAGCGUGGGGAGCAAACAGG